GUAAUUGAGUGCUCAAGUGCACUAGCUAAGUUACUUCAACUGAAGCAAGACGAAGUCUUGAUCGAAUCAACUGGUGUAAUUGGUCAAAGAAUAAAGAAGGAAGCACUUCUCAACUCACUCCCACAUCUUGUUAAACAGCUUUCACCAACCGUGGAGGGGGCAAAUUCUGCAGCUGUAGCUAUAACGACCACUGAUCUUGUUAGUAAGAGUGUGGCUGUUGAAACAGAAGUAAGAGGAACUCGAAUCAGAGUUGGGGGCAUGGCAAAGGGUUCUGGGAUGAUUCAUCCUAACAUGGCAACAAUGCUUGGUGUAGUAACUACAGAUGCCUCAGUUACAAGUGAUGUUUGGAGAAAGAUGGU
rnacentral:misc_RNA from 1 species